rnacentral:rRNA from 1 species
GAUGAACGCUGGCGGCGUGCCUAAUACAUGCAAGUCGAGCGAACAGAUGAGGAGCUUGCUCCUCUGACGUUAGCGGCGGACGGGUGAGUAACACGUGGAUAACCUACCUAUAAGACUGGGAUAACUUCGGGAAACCGGAGCUAAUACCGGAUAAUAUAUUGAACCGCAUGGUUCAAUAGUGAAAGACGGUUUUGCUGUCACUUAUAGAUGGAUCCGCGCCGCAUUAGCUAGUUGGUAAGGUAACGGCUUACCAAGGCAACGAUGCGUAGCCGACCUGAGAGGGUGAUCGGCCACCAUGGAACUGAGACACGGUCCAGACUCCUACGGGAGGCAGCAGUAGGGAAUCUUCCGCAAUGGGCGAAAGCCUGACGGAGCAACGCCGCGUGAGUGAUGAAGGUCUUCGGAUCGUAAAACUCUGUUAUUAGGGAAGAACAAAUGUGUAAGUAACUAUGCACGUCUUGACGGUACCUAAUCAGAAAGCCACGGCUAACUACGUG